ensembl:lncRNA
CUUGUCCAUGGGAUGACUAUGAGGGAGGCUGGGCAACGAGUACAACCAAAUUUGAGUCGCUUCACUGUUGCCUCCAUCAUCAGAACCUUCAGGGAGGAAAACAGGACACAGAGACGACCACCUGGUGGAGGCAGGUUAAGGCUUUUGUCGGAGGAGCAAGAGAGGGAACUUGUAAACAUGGUAAUUGCAAAUAAUGUAAUCCGCCUGCAAGAGAUUCAAAGGAGAGUGAUUGAGGAUGAUCAUCUUUUUCGAGGCAUACAUGCCAUCAGCCUCUCCACAAUUGACCACAUCCUCCGAAAGAAUCAAUUCCGGAUGAAACAGGCAUACCGAGUCCCUUUCGAACGAAACUCUGACAGAGUGAAAAACCAACGUGUGGAAUAUGUUCAGAGAAUCUUUGAGAUUGAAGGACGGCCUGUUCCCCAUGAAAUAAUCUUUGUGGAUGAGGCAGGUUUUAACCUGACCAAAAGAAGGAAAAGGGGGAG